rnacentral:rRNA from 1 species
CAAUAGCGUAUAUUAAAGUUGUUGCAGUUAAAAAGCUCGUAGUUGAACUUCAGACCUGGCCGGGCGGUCUACCUCGCGGUAUGUACUAUCUGGCCGGGUCUUACCUCUUGGUGAGCCGGUAUGCCCUUCACUGGGUGUGCCGGGGAACCAGGACCUUUACCUUGAGAAAAUUAGAGUGUUCAAAGCAGGCAUAUGCCCGAAUACAUUAGCAUGGAAUAAUAAAAUAGGACGUGCGGUUCUAUUUUGUUGGUUUCUAGAGUCGCCGUAAUGAUUAAUAGGGAUAGUUGGGGGCAUUCGUAUUCAGUUGCUAGAGGUGAAAUUCUUGGAUUUACUGAAGACGAACUAUUGCGAAAGCAUUUGCCAAGGAUGUUUUCAUUA